rnacentral:misc_RNA from 1 species
AACGAGGAGGACAAGUGUUACUCGUAUUGACUGGGUGUAAAACGUACGUAGACGGUGAUUAAAGUGCUAAUAUAAAGGAAGCACAUUAUAAAACUUAUGGUUUCUAUUUAGCAAACUUUUUCACUAGAGUUAAGCGGAGAAUAGCAGAAUUCCAAGUGUAGGGGUAAAAUCUGACAAUAUUUGGAGCGCUAUCAAGAGGCGAAAGCAGCUGUUCAUGCUUAUACUGACGUUGAGGUACGAAAGCGUGGGUAUCGAACAGG